rnacentral:misc_RNA from 1 species
CAAACUUCCCAACGGUUUCUGUCCCGUGCCUCGCUACAAAAGGACUCUACCCUUCGAACAGAUGAUUGCCAGAUGUCGAUACACUCUCACCGAAUAUUUACAGCGAGCCUAAGGACCCGCUAUAAAUCUUAGGAUUCAUGCAGCUAAGAUUCUCUAAAGGGACAAAUAGUCUUUGUCUCAAUAGUCCCUACACUCGUCAUCCCUUUCCAACCACCAACUCACGAUUUAGCCAAUUAACAGCGACGUCCAUUUCCCUCACUCUCCGAACUAACACUUUUCUUAACGAAUCCGAUGAUCCCGUAUCCUUAGGCACACCCAAACACAGUUUUCCUAAGGAG